GUCGAGAAUAAUUCACAAUGGACGAAAGUCUGAUGGUGCAACGCCGCGUGGAGGAUGAAGGUCUUCGGAUUGUAAACUCCUGUCAUCGGGGAGUAAGACCUGGCGGUAAAUAGCCGACAGGGUUGAUAGUACCCGAAGAGGAAGGGACGGCUAACUUCGCGCCAGCAGCCGCGGUAAUACGAAGGUCCCAAGCGUUGUUCGGAAUCACUGGGCGUAAAGGGAGCGUAGGCGGCGUGGUAAGUCAGAUGUGAAAUCCCGGGGCUCAACCCCGGAACUGCAUCCGAUACUGCCAUGCUUGAGGGUUGGAGAGGUAGCUGGAAUUCUCGGUGUAGCAGUGAAAUGCGUGGAUAUCGAGAGGAACACUCGUGGCGAAGGCGAGCUACUGGACAACAUCUGACGCUGAGGCUCGAAGGCCAGGGGAGCAAAAGGGAUUAGAUACCCCAGUAGUCC
rnacentral:rRNA from 1 species